GCCGGUGUAGCUCAGUUGGUAGAGCGCGUCUCUUGUAAAGACGAUGUCGCGGGUUCGAUUCCUGUCACCGGCU
rfam:Nocardioides sp. PD653 DNA, contig: 3.